UGUUUAGCAAGAGACAGAAAGAUAGAGGGCAGCACGGGACCAGAGUGCUAGCUGCCCUUCAGGAGAACAUGACUGCUUAACUUGCAGGUCUGAAGAGGUAGCCAAGACCGAGAGAGAAGUGGCAGGCAUGCCCGCAUCCUCUCCCCAACCUCUCCAGAAAGAGAUGCAGCGCCUCUUUCUCAUUGUUUAAGAAGAAAAGGGGGAACUUGGAGACGCAGCCAAUGAAGGAUAAAUGAGCGCUCUGCUAGUUCAAAGGCAACGUGCAGAUUGGACAGAGGAAGCGUGCAGAGCUCAGAAGAACAGGAGAAAACCCAGUGCACAGAUAAGCAAACAAACAUACAAAUCCACGCUGAACGGGGCAGUACUCCCAAGAAGCAGAAUAUGAAGGCCUGAGAGGAAGAAGGCAGACUGAAGAAACGGGCAACGGAAUAAGGAAACGAGAAUGUAGACUGUAGCCCUCGGUCCCGGCUUCAUACUCAGUGUGGUACUUGAGAUGUGGCAACGAGGAAGCCGCCCUAAGUCCUCACCUUGGGGACCUCACACUUGAGCUAGGGAGAUUGACAGCAAAGGAGGAGUGUGUGAAGUACAGAGUGUGCCAGAUGGUGGUAGACACCAUCCCGGAAGAUCAAGCAAAGAGGUAGAUGGGGGUGCUGGGCAGAGAAGGAGUUUCCGUUUGCAAUUCGGUCAUGAGAAAAGCCACGUUGCAAGGGUGAUCAUUGAGCAAAGCCUUGAAGAAUGAGAGGAAGUGAGCCAUGCGGAAUCUGGGGGAAGAGCAUUAUAGCAUCUGAAAGCAGAAAGUGCAAAGGCCCUACGAUGGCGCUGGGAGGGCCUUAACCAUACAAGCCCAAUGCGGAGCUUGAUUCCAUGAAUCGUGUGAUCGUGACCCGAGCUGAAAUCAAGAGUUGGAUGCUUAACUGACCGAGUCACCCAGUUGCCCCUGUGAGAAGUUCUUUUAAUCAUCUGUGUACAAUUGUAGUAAAUGUACAAAUAUGGUCUCAGGCCCCACAAAAUCUGGAUCCACCCUUGCUCUCAGCAAUCCUGUUGAUAAAAAUUAUUCAUCAUUCAAAACCAAGAUCAAAUGUCACUUCCUUUAUAAAUUAUUUCCUGAAUCCCUAAUCAGGUUUGGAGAUAGAGCCACCCUAUAUGUGAAGAAGUCUGGGACUUUCUGCUUUAGGACUUCUGAAGAAGAAACAUGAAGUCAAUACAUAGCGAGGGGCCAGACGGAUUGUGUCGGAAACAAACACUGAGGUGGGAAACUGAAGAACGGAGAUAUUAACACAGUUGGUAACCGAAGAAUCCUGGAUUCAAACCAGGGCAGUCUGACUUCCAAAUCUCUGCUCAUAACCACUAGAUAAUAUUGCUGUAGUCAUAGAUUGGUGAAUUUCACAAAUGGUCUUAAAUUGCUUUGAUCUGAUAUUUCAUGGAGAUAAAACACUCUAUAAAAUUGAUCACAGUAAGAAAAUUAUGGCUAACAUUCUCUUAUUCCUCAUAAAGUCGUUCCGUCUGGAGACAAAAAUGUGGUCCUAAAGUUUGUUUAGAAUUAAUCUGUCAUGUUAUUUGAAAAGAGUGUCUGGUAGCCCAAUAAGCCUAUUGUUUGGAACAGAUAAAGCAUUUUUCUUUUGGGAGACAAGGCAAACUCGAUUUCAUACUUUUCCUAAGGGGAUUGUGCCCACAGAGCUAAUUAGGGUACAUAAUUUUAAAAAAUUGGGUUUACUUGAGAUAAAUUCUUAAGAGAUUCCUUGAUAAGAGACCUUCUCCUGGGGUCAUCUUUUCUAAUAGUGAGUGAUUGAUCAGAUAUUUUAGAGUAGAUGGAGUUCCAGGCUCCCAGCUGGGCCAGUUCCUGGAACCUACGAAACUGAGAGACCAUGUUGGCUGAGUGAAGUGACUUGCCCCGUCAUCGACAGAGACAGGCAUUUCCACGGUCUUUUCACAAAAGUCACGCAAUGUCUCAGAACCUGCACUUAAUUGCUCCUUACAGCUGAGCCCAAAACCUCCCACUGGGGUCUAUUGUAAUUAUUGCACUCCAGGAUGCAAUUUUUUUUUUAACUGAAAGAAUUUAUUGGUUAAAGGAUCUUUUGGCUAUACCAAAUAAAAUCUACAUUGGUUAGGUUUUAGACAAUCAAUAUUUAUGAAGCCAAGACAUACACUGGUAAAUUCUCUUUUCCCAUUUUCCAAGUAAUGGUAUAAUAAAGCUGAUUUAAGCCUAUCUAUGAUCAAGAUUAUAUAGAGAGAAGAAAUUUCUCCCCAAAGACAGGAUGAGUUAAGUACUAUCAAAUCAAGUAGAGUAGAUUAAUUAAAGAGUUGGAAAAUUCUCACUUGACUCAGCCUUCAUAUUUUUGUAAUAAAUAAUAAGAUAAUUUAAAAUGAAAAUUAUUAGAAAUGUAUUAUGCCAUCAAUAAUUUCAUUAUCAAAAGCAUAUUCUCUCUAUGUGCCUUCAACUCCCAGAUGAUUAAACAUGUUUGCAAGUUGCUGGAGGCAGGUAAAGGCAUUCUGAUUGUCCAAGGUGGUCCGGUUCGAGUGAUAUUUUUCAAACCGAAAGAAAAGUUGUCUCAAGUGUUGGUAACCAGAGACUAUGGUAUGGUACCAUAAGGAAGUUGGACCUUUCUUUCCAUUUUUUCUUGGAAUGAAAUUCACUCAUUAUUAUUUCAACAAUAUAUAUUUGAGUCCCUACUGUGUGUGCUAGGCACUUCAUAUAAGACUGUCUGUUUCAAAAGUGCCGUGAGUAGAAGCAAUUAAUAGAUAAUAAUGGUAAGAUAACUAAAAAUGUAAAUUAUUAGAUCAUCUUUCUGAUAUCAAUAAUUGAUUUACAUAAUGCACUUUAUUUCCUGUCUUCAGUCAUAAAGAGAAUAAAACAUAUUUGGCUA